GACGAACGCUGGCGGCGUGCUUAACACAUGCAAGUCGAACGGAAAGGCCCUGCUUUUGUGGGGUGCUCGAGUGGCGAACGGGUGAGUAACACGUGAGUAACCUGCCCUUGACUUUGGGAUAACUUCAGGAAACUGGGGCUAAUACCGGAUAGGAGCUCCUGCUGCAUGGUGGGGGUUGGAAAGUUUCGGCGGUUGGGGAUGGACUCGCGGCUUAUCAGCUUGUUGGUGGGGUAGUGGCUUACCAAGGCUUUGACGGGUAGCCGGCCUGAGAGGGUGACCGGCCACAUUGGGACUGAGAGACGGACCAGAAUCGUACGGGAGGCAGCAGUGGGGAAUAUUGCACAAUGGGCGGAAGCCUGAUGCAGCAACGCCGCGUGCGGGAUGACGGCCUUCGGGUUGUAAACCGAUUUCGCCGGUGACGAAGCGUGAGUGACGGUAAUGGGUAAAGAAGCACCGGCUAACUACGUG
rnacentral:rRNA from 1 species